UGAAACCAGUCACAUCAUGUAUGAAACAGCACUAUUUGCUUACCUGGAGACAGCGGCGCUAAACUACACAGUCAUGGUGUCAGAGAGUGAUUAAAGGCCAGUGGGCAUGAUGACUGAAGCAUAAAGCAGCAUAAAAUAUAAUUUGCCAAGUGAUUAUGAAUUGUACUUUUACAGUACUGAAGUAAACGGUCUUCUCCAAAGGUUGCUGCUACCCUGGACUGCUGUAUACCUGACAUGCAUUAUGUCUGUAUGUACUGUUUCAUUUUGUAAGUAGUUAUGAAUUUUUACUUUGUCUUCCAUCUGCUCCUGAAGACGGCGACUACUUCAUGGUGUGUUGUUUGGAAUAGGUAUCGUCCUCCUCGUGCUCCUCCUCCUCCUCAUCGUCUUGUUCACUAGGAGAUACAGGUCCAAGAGACGAGGAGUUCGUCAUAGCUGGGCGCCGACUGAUGACGUUGCUCCGCUUUUAUCUCCCGGAAGUCUUCCUCCUCCAUGAUGCUAAGCACAUCCAGUCAUCAUGGCUCUGUCCACUAACUAUGUUAGUAGGGAUUUUAUUUAUAAUUUAUAGAGACUUUCAUCAUUAGGAUUCAAAAAACACCUCAUAAUAACUCACAAAUAGAAGAUGAUUCAAAUAUUUCGUACACUGUGUCGCACCAGUGUCAUUUAUUGUUUUUCUCUGUAGCCAACAGCACAAUCUCCCACUAUUUGUUCUGGUUAAUAAAUGCGUUUUGGCAAUGUUUUAAAAUUUAGAUGGCUCGAGUCAAAAUAGCUCCUUUUAUGCAAAUUUUAUCCACAACCCCCCACAGACGGGAAACAGUACAGACACAACUCUAGCGAAUGAGGAGCCAUAUUCUUUGAUUUGGGAAACCAAAGCCUGAUGGAAAUGAAAAAGCUCGACAGACACAGAGGCAACACAGCAGCAACAGAAAAUGAUCCUCCAUCACACAGAAACGAGAGCAGUAACUGAGCCGUGUUCAGCGUUCAUCCUCAGACAGCUUUCAACACUGUGACGACUAGUUUCCCUUUUUCAGAAAAGUUGGGAUACUUUCCAAAAUGCAAUAAAAACAAAGAUCUGGGAUUUGUAAAUUCACACAAACCUUUAGUUUCAAUAGUUUUACUGACCAGGGUAAUUGUAAUAGUAUUUUGUAAAAAUAAGUUAGUUGGGACAGAGGCAUUGUGUUACAUCACCUUUCCUUUUAAUUCCACCUUUUCAUACCAUCACAGAUACUGCUUUUGCAACUUUUACUGAGAACAAUCUGGAUGGUCACUGUCUUUUGUUCCAUCUGAGAUGAACUCAGGCCCAGAAAAGUCGCCAGCGUCUCUGCCUACCACUGAUGUGUGGAUUCCUCCUUGUAUUAUUCAGGUUGCAUUUCUGGAUGUUCACCAAUAUUGGCACAAAGGAGCCCCGACCCUGCAGACUACAUGACUUUCAAUGUCGGCAGAUCGCUGGGCUGUUCAGACUACACAACUUGCCAGCUUGUGUCGGGAGUCUCGCCGUCGUUCCCACUCCGUGACUUAUCGGUGACAGGAGGUCACACAGUACGCUAUUAGACAACAACUCUGUCACCCGAGGGCUGGUCUCAUAACCACGUUUUGUCAAGAAAACACACGUGAAACGUGGCAGGCGAAAUGACGUGAAACUACACACGAAACAUCUGUUGUUUGUUCUUAUAAAGACAAAGAAUCUGGGUGAAAGAACGGUUUAGCACACGCAGGUAGCAGGGAUUGUCUGAGCUACAGAGAGCUGGAGGGGAGUAAAAAGGGUUUUGUUGAGUUUGAUGCAGGCAUAAAAUUCUAACUUUACAAAAUACGAUUAUGCUGGUCAGUAAAACUACUGAAACUCAAAAUUUAAAUCAAAUAAAGGUUCACAUGAUUUAACAAAUUAAAACUUUUUCUGUAUUUUCUGUAUCCAAACUUUUCUGGAAAUGGGGUUUGUAGUUUACAAGCAGCAUAUAUAUUUAAAGAGGUUGUGGACUUGACCAUAGGGUUAUGUUCUCUGUUGCCUGUAAAGUUCCUCUGCUCCCUUGAGAUGUUAAUCCAAAAGAAUAUUGGUUAUAUAAAGUCUUUUCUAUCUUGUAAUGUUACAGUGUUUGUUAGUUCAUUGGUCAUUUUGAAUGAAAUAUUUUUCUGUUUCUUACAACUUUGUCACCACCGUCAGUGUUUGUCAACUCUUUCUGUUUUGUUCCACAGUAUUUGUCUAUAAAAUUGUUGCAUUUUCAAAGUUAAUGUGUAAUUUCAAUGCUUCCAAGUAUCUCUUAGAUAUUUAUUACAUAUAACCUAAACCGUAACCAUUACACAUUGACUAAUCUAACUUUAAAAAGGUUCAUUUAAAAUUAUUUUAUAGACAUUUCUAUGUUUCUGAUGGUUUUGACAAAAAUCUAGUGCUGAUCCUGCAAACAUGUAAUUAAUGAAGAAAACUGGGAGGUUGUUUCUUGACAGAGUUUUGUAGAAAAUCAAAACCUGGCCAUGUUUUUAAUCAU